GAUUGAGAACCAUGACAAACCAUCUGGAUCAGCAAUCUUUGAAACAACAAAGAACCUUGGCACAAUCAACAGAUUGCCGGCUUUCACGAAGGUUUCCAGGACCCUUUUGCCGUCGACGCCCACCACUUGGAGACGACCACUGCCUUUGACUAUGUAUGUAACCUGCAAGGCUGAAUCACAAGAAAAGCCAGGGGAGCACAUUGCAUUACCUUCCAGCCUGACGAGAUCGGCCCCCAUACCCACCUGGCCGACCAAAGGGAGGUUUUUAGUGUUCAAGAGCACGACGUUGCCGGCAUUCUUGAUGUCGGUGUCCAACGGAGCUUCUUCACAGUUCAAGGCCAUUCCUUUGCGGUGAUCGGGCUUGGGUUCAGGCAUCUUGAAAUUGGCAUCAAGCUUGACAAUGCCUUUGC
rnacentral:lncRNA from 1 species